UGCGUGCGUCGUCGGCGUCGUUCCGUAUGUUCUGUCACGGCCGCUUUUUCAUCCAGCGGCCGUGGUUCUGUAGUCUGUGGGGCUGUGGUUCCGUACGUCCGUUGGUCUGGCGGCAGUCAUGGACUGCCGGCUGCGCAUUCUGUGCGCAGUCGUCGGUGUCACCUGCCCUUUUGAACCUGAGACCCACGAAUCAAACACUCUUCAUUUCAAAACUUUCUAUCGGUGUCCUGAGACAUGGCUGAAACAAAGUCUAUGGUAUCCCUCUGUGCCAGAAAAAAAAAAAAUUUUAACCAGAGGAUGCUUGCUGUUCUGCCUGUGAUAAAUUUUGCAGAGAUUCACUGCAAGGAUGAGCCCAGUGGCAUGAUUACACAGCUCUUGCCUUAAUGGCUGUGAGGCACUUUUGAAAAACUGAAGUGAUGACUUGACUUGGUCUUUGAGUAGAUGAAAAAUACAAGCACUUGCACCUUGGCAAGCAACACGUUAGGAACAGAGCAGUAGAUUAAGCCCUCAGUGCUUCAUCAUGCAACUAAAGGAAGUUCUUGAGGAGUGUUGCUGCUGCACGCUUCAGAAAAGGAAGAAGUCCUGCUGAGACAUGUGGGAUCAAGAAAUGAAGGUUGACCAGCACCAAUGAAGUUUGGUUCUAUCAUCACAAUUCAAUAUGUUAAUUAAGUUUAUAAAGCGUUCUUAAAUUAUGA